ACUAAACAGCUAGCUCAAAAAUUAAAAAUAAAAUUAACACCAUAAACCAACCAUCAAAAACUAAAAACACUAACUAAACCAUUCGACCACCCCAGUACGGGCGACAGAAAAGGACUAACGAAGCCAUAGAAAAA
rnacentral:rRNA from 1 species